GAUGAACGCUGGCGGCGUGCCUAAUACAUGCAAGUCGAGCGAACGGACGAGAAGCUUGCUUCUCUGAUGUUAGCGGCGGACGGGUGAGUAACACGUGGAUAACCUACCUAUAAGACUGGGAUAACUUCGGGAAACCGUAGCUAAUACCGGAUAAUAUUUUGAACAGCAUGGUUCAAAAGUGAAAGACGGUCUUGCUGUCACUUAUAGAUGGAUCCGCGCUGCAUUAGCUAGUUGGUAAGGUAACGGCUUACCAAGGCAACGAUGCAUAGCCGACCUGAGAGGGUGGUCGGCCACACUGGAACUGAGACACGGUCCAGACUCCUACGGGAGGCAGCAGUAGGGAAUCUUCCGCAAUGGGCGAAAGCCUGACGGAGCAACGCCGCGUGAGUGAUGAAGGUCUUCGGAUCGUAAAACUCUUUUAUUAGGGAAGAACAUAUGUGUAAGUAACUGUGCACAUCUUGACAGUACCUAAUCAGAAAGCCACGGCUAACUACGUG
rnacentral:rRNA from 1 species